rnacentral:lncRNA from 1 species
UAAAUUUUAUAUGAUAAAUGUUGGAAAGAAUUUGAAAUUUCUGGAUGAGUUUUCAGAAUAGUCGAAUAUCAGUGUGUUUCUUUCUAGCAAAGAAGUUUAAACUAAAAUAAAUAAAUGAGAUCAAAAACUAAAGAUUGAUAUCUGCAUAUUUGAGAAAUUUCAAAUUGUGAUUUAGAAUUUUGGAGAAAAAAAGAACAAAUAUACGUAUACCAGGAUUGGAACC